GCCAGGUGUGGUGGUGCAUGCCUGUAGUCCCAGCUACUCUGGAGGCUGAGAUGGGAGGAUUGCUUGAGCCCGGGAGGCCGAGGGUGCAGUGAGCUGAGAUUGCACCACUGCAUUCCAGCCUGGGUGACAAAGUGAGACCCUGUCUCAA
rnacentral:SRP_RNA from 1 species